UACAGAGGGUGCGAGCGUUAAUCGGAAUUACUGGGCGUAAAGCGCGCGUAGGCGGCUUUGCAAGCCGGAUGUGAAAUCCCCGGGCUUAACCUGGGAACUGCAUUCGGGACUGCAUUGCUAGAGUAUGGGAGAGGGAAGUGGAAUUUCAGGUGUAGCGGUGAAAUGCGUAGAUAUCAGGAGGAACACCGGUGGCGAAGGCGGAUCUCUGGGCCUUACCUGACGCUGAGGCGCGAAAGCUAGGGGAGCAAACGGG
rnacentral:rRNA from 1 species